rfam:Pythium ultimum DAOM BR144 ctg_1117875580137, whole genome shotgun sequence.
UAAAACUGAAAAACUUGAGUAUAAAUAGAGGAUAAUGGAAUUUCUAUUGGAGGGAUAAAAUACGUUGAUAAUAGAAGGAAGAUCAAAAGCGAAGGCAAUUAUCUGGGUAUAUACUGACACUGACGAAACGAAAGCUUGGGUAGCGAACGGGAUUACAGACCCCGGUAGUCCAUGCUGUAAACGAUGAGUGCUCAUAUUUAGAAUUUUUAGAUAUCAAGCUAACGCGUUAAGCACUCCGCCUGAAAAGUAUAAUCGCAAGAUUGAAAUUCAAAGGAAUUGACGGGAGUCUACACAAGCGGUGGAGCAUGUGGUUUAAUUCGAUAAUACGCGCAGAACCUUACCAACUCUUGCAAAUUAGAUUAAAAAAUUAAAUUUAAUCUAAACAGGCGUUGCAUGGCUGUCGUCAGCUCGUGUUGUGAAAUGUUUGGUUAAAUCCUUUAACGAGCGCAACCCCUAUUAUUAGUUGCUAAUUUAUUUAAAUAAAUAAAAGCACUCUAAUAAAAAUGUCAAUGAUAGGUUGAAGGAAGGUAGGGAUGACGUCAAGUCUUCAUGGCCCUUAUGAGUUGGGCUACACACGUGCUACAAUGAUAAUUACAAUGAGAGGCAAUAAUGAUUAAAAAUUGGAGCAAAUCUUUAAAGAUUAUCUUAGUUCGGAUUAUGGGCUGAAACUCGCCCAUAUGAAGCUGGAAUCGCUAGUAAUCGCAGAACAGCAUGCUGCGGUGAAUAUGUUACUAGACUUUGUACACACCGCCCGUCACAUCAAGGAAGUUAAAUAUUUUUAAAAUGAUUUUUAGUUAUUUUAUUUUAAUAAAUAAUUAUUUAAUUUUAAUAAUUUAUAUUUAAGAUUUUAUAAUAUAUAAGUUCCUAAAAAGUAUUUAGUAACUUUGAUGAAGUCGUAACAAGGUAGUCGUAGAGGAACCUGUGGCUGGAAGAGCUCUUUA